ACCUGGUUGGCUCAGUUGGUAGAGCAUGUGAUUCUUGAUCUCAGGGUUGUAAGUUCGAGCCCUACGUUGGGUG
rfam:Canis lupus familiaris chromosome 1, whole genome shotgun sequence.